AUUGAACGCUGGCGGCAGGCCUAACACAUGCAAGUCGAGCGGGGUUUUCGGACCUAGCGGCGGACGGGUGAGUAAUGCGUAGGAAGCUACCCGAUAGAGGGGGAUACCAGUUGGAAACGACUGUUAAUACCGCAUAAUGUCUACGGACCAAAGUGUGGGACCUUCGGGCCACAUGCUAUCGGAUGCGCCUACGUGGGAUUAGCUAGUUGGUGAGGUAAUGGCUCACCAAGGCGACGAUCCCUAGCUGGUUUGAGAGGAUGAUCCGCCACACUGGAACUGAGACACGGUCCAGACUCCUACGGGAGGCAGCAGUGGGGAAUAUUGGACAAGGGGCGCAAGCCUGAUCCAGCCAUGCCGCGUGUGUGAAGAAGGCCUUCGGGUUGUAAGGCACUUUCAGUAGGGAGGAAGCGUUGUGUGUUAAUAGUACACAGCGUUGACGUUACCUACAGAAGAAGCACCGGCUAACUCUGUGCCAGCCGCCGCCGUAAUAC
rnacentral:rRNA from 1 species